UGUGUGUGUAUAUGGGCAUAUGGGUGCCAUGGUACACAUGUGGAGGUCACAGGACAACUCGGCAGAGCCAAUCUUCUCCUUCCACCAUGUGGUUCCAGGGGAUUGAUCCCAGGCUGGAAGGCUUGGCUGCAAGCACCUUUAUUUCCCAAGCCGCCUUGCCGGGCCUUGAUUUAGUUGUUUUUUUUUUUUUUUUCGAGACAGGGUUUCUCUGUGGCUUUGGAGCCUGUCCUGGCACUAGCUCUGUAGACCAGGCUGGUCUCGAACUCACAGAGAUCCGCCUGCCUCUGCCUCCCGAGUGCUGGGAUUAAAGGCGUGCGCCACCAUCACCCGGCUUGAUUUAGGUUUUAAAUAGCUCCCUGUCCUGUUCUUUCACACGGUAAAUGCUAAUCAAGUUGAGCACCAGCGUGACCUGUCCCCUGGCCCUGUGGGUUUAUAAAUUCUCACUUCCUGGGCUGAGGAAUCCUGACGUUUGAUAAACAGUUCUUCUCUCCUAGCAGUGAUUUCACCUGCGCCUUCCCCCACUUUAUUGCCACGGCAUAAGGAUGCUGAGGAAACACGACUUGGGAUAUUCCAGCAUUAAGUGAUCCACGGCUGUCAGUGUGAGUGGCGUACUGUUCUCUGCUUUUUAAUGGCCUCUUUAUAGAUGUUCCUUUCCAGUCGGCCCGAUGGAAGGCAGAUCUUUUAGAUGCAGGGUGAUUAUGAAUAUCUACAUGAGACAAAGGUGCGUAUUGGCCGUCAAAUCUCUUCACUUUGCUGGAGUGGACAGUUCAAAUCCCCGUAGUCUUGGGAGAUUGGUUUGGAUCACGUCUACCUAAAUUCCUCAUCCUCCAGUUGUCCACGCAGGAGCCCAUCUGCGAUCCUUCUGCCCACUCACGCGGCCUGGUGCUGUCUUUCUGCAUUUCUAUUAGGCAGCUCGGCAUUUCACUACAUGGACGAGCGUUCCAACUGAAUCCUCCGUGCAGAUUAUGCAUAUGCUAAUGAAGUAGAAUCCUGUGCUCAUAACUCACAGGCAGCAUUACCUACCGCAGCCAGAGAAAUGUCCUUAUAUCCUUGUACUGUUUCAUUUUCUGAGCACCAGGACCAAAGAUUCCUCCAUCUCAGAAAACACACAACACUUGUCUUUUCCCAAGGCAGUCUGCAAGUCUAACCACACUUCAUUUUGUUUUAUUUUAUGUGUGUAGGGUUUUUGUUUUUACCUGCUUGUGUAUUUGUGUGCCACUUGCACACCUGGUACCCAAGGAUGCCAGAAGAAGGAGUUACAAAUGGUUGUGAAGUAUAUGGGUGCUGGGAAUUGAACCUGCAACCUUUGGAAGAGCAGCCUGUGCCUUGACUAAUGACUCAUCUCUCCAGCCCCCUCUUAUUCCCCUUUAUUCUUAUUCUCUAUUACUUUGCCAAGAGCUUCUAUCAGAUGUUAUUCCUGUUCCUCCUAAAAUCCCCCUCUUCUUCUUUUUCCAGCAAGUGAUUGAACCCAAUGCUCAUGUUGCUUCGUUGGGCCCCUGACUACUGCUAAGAAAUGAUCUUCGGGUAUCUUUAAUAAAGAUACUCAAUUUAUGUUCUAAAAAACAAAACAAAACAAAAACCGACACUAAGCCACAACUCUGUAGUUUCACUCUUGUGUUUGGUUUCCUCUCUCAUACUCAAAUUUAAGACAAGUGACCUGACUCCUCUGGCCGCAGUUUUCCAUCGGUAACAUAAGGGGACAUUGUUGCCCGUGAUGGCCAAGAUCAUUGAAAAGAUAAAGAAGAAGGGCAUGAUGCUGGGUGUGGUGGUUUCCACACCAGUAAUCUUGGUACUUGAUAGACAAAGGGGGAGAACCACUCUGAGUUCAAGGCCAGCCUACUUUAUGUAGUAAAUUCUUGACUCUAGGUCAGAAGGCUACACAGAGAGAAAUCUCUUUCUCCCUCUCUCUCUCUCAAACAUGCACGCGCGCGCGCGCACACACACACACACACACACACACACACACACACACACACACACACGGAGAGCAGGAAAGAGGGAGGAAGGGAGGAAGAAAGGAGGGUGUAACAAGAGUUGUACCAAGAGCCUUCAACUCUACUGACUAGUAUUCAUGGUACUGGAAGGUACACUGCACACUCCCAAAAGAGAAAGAUAAACACCAAUCCAGUCACAAAACCUUCAAUCUAUCACGGUAUAGUGCCUGCAAGAUGCGCUAGUGUAAUAAUGGCAUAAGGUUUAUGGGAGUAACCAACCAAGAUCUGAUCUGAUUUAGGGCCCACUUUAUGAGACAAAACCCAUCCCUGAUACUGCUCAGGUGACCGAGAACCUGAGAUCAGAUAUGCCUGAGACCUAGGGGAAAACCAAAUACUGAUGUUCACUAGAGGAAUGUAGCAAUAAAUGACCCCUAAAGACAUUCUGCUGUACUUAAAGAUCAGUAUUUUGCUCCACCAGCAACAGAGAAGCUUCCAUCUGCAGUAGAUGGGAAUCAAUAAAGAGCUGGGCAAUGUGCAGAGAGUGAGAAACCUUGGGACACUCAGCCCUGAAAGGAAUGUUUCCAUCAAAUGCCUCCCCUCAGGACUCAGGGAAUCUUGCAGAAGAGGAGACUGAAAGAUUGUAAGAGCCACAGAUUAUGGAUGAUACCAAGGAAACAAGGCCCUUCUAAACACAGGAGGAUGGAUGCACACGCGAAAUCACAGAUUGUGGCAGCAUCCUCGGUGCCUGCACAGGUCUAGAAAGUAGACCAAGUGUACUAUAUAUGUGCACACAUGCCUCAUCAAAUCAUUAAGGUAACCUAGAUAUUCUCACUUGCAUGAUGCCAAACUUGAGACUCGGAAAUACUGAGGAACCUGUGGGCCAUGCUGCCCACAGGUGUCAAGGUUUGGAACGGUUCCUCAGCCUCAGUCACUACUGACUGCUUGCCAAGCUUCUCUUCCUGCUCUUCCUUCCAUACUUUCUGGCCGCAGCCAUGCCAUUGAUCACGGCAUGACUGUACUGAAGCGGGGGCUUCUUUUAGUAAGUCCCAACCACCCGAAAGCAUUAGAACAACUCAUUUCUUUGACAAGUCUCAUAGCAAAGAGCAAAGAGCAAGAACUUUCCAGCAUUCCCUGGGAUGCAACCCAAAUUAGUUAAUAUCAGAGUAUUAUAGAAGGCAUGUAACUUUUGGCUUCAAAAUUCUCAGGUUGAUUGAGAGACAUCCAACUGGCAGAGCAAUUACAGAAUAUUCCAACGAAAGAUGGUUUAAAAGACCAAGGCAGUCUGGUCUGGCUUGAGUGAGAACAGCUUCUUGCAUCUUUGUAAUUGGAGCUCGGAAGUAGUGAAAUCCCAGACACCUAGGCUCUGCAAGCCAAUCUUCCUUUGAAAGCCUCCAGCAGUAGCUAUGUUUUAGAGGAGAAUUUCACAGCAUCCUAGGAACAUUAUUUUGGACCUAAUGAAAGUAAAAAGACAAAGCAAGGGGAACAUAUUGGGCAUCUGGUUAUUUUAAGAUAUUGAGACAAUUCAGCUCAACUAACAAAAUAUUAGGUUUUUGUCACAGAUCAUUUUGAGGAUACCAAAGGGAAAUGACUUACGGAGUUUCUAAGGUCGAAAAGACUGGGCAGAAAGAGAUGACCUGUCAAACCAUUACUGAAGAAAAUAAUUACAUGUACAUGAGAAAGUGGUCCUGACUGCAGAGAGGAACACGGACCAAGAGGAAAGGGAUCUAGAUAGAUAAGGGAUCAAAGGCAGAAACGAGAGGAAGAGGGGAUCAAUAUUACUGCAUAUUUGAAAGACGGUUAUGAUCACAUCGGUCAUUGUGUCCAUUGCAAGGAAUACUGUUUAAACACCACGGGCCUCCUGGGGUUUUCUACAUUGUCAGUUAAAAGAGGACAGCCUCAGCAACUCUGUCCCAAGGUUGGGCAGUAGGAGAAUAUCCGUGCUGGGUGUCAACACUGUAACAUUAUGUGACUGUCAUUUAUAAGUCCAGGGAUAGCUGUGAGAAUUCUGCCAGACAGACAGUAUCAUGACAUUCUCCUUGCACUGAAUGGCUCGCAUCACAAUAUAUGUCAGAGUAGAGCUAAAAGUUGGUAUGUGCAGACUUUUUAAAAUGAAUGAGAUCUAAAUUAAACAUGUUAAAUCUAAUGUGGUGUAAUGCAUCGCUUUGUCUGCGCUUUAAAAAUUAAACAAUGCUUUGAUUAUAAUAACAGUGCUACUUACCCAUUCUAGAUACUUUAUGAAAUACAAAACACAAAAAGCAAGCAUAUUUAGUUAUCCCCAAGCUAUUAACAUUUAGCAUGCAUGCCAGGCUGCACCCUGUGUCGACAGAUGCGAGAGAAGUUCAGAGAAGCCAUGUUUUAUCGCGGUGAUGUUGUAAGGUCGCCUUUCACCUUGAUAUUUUCAUUUCAUAUCAAAGUCAAGGAACUUUUCUCCAUAUACAAGUCUGAACAGACAUUUAAAGUAACUCAGUACACUGGUUCAUAGCAGUGUUUCAUAACUCCUUAACCCAUCCCCUUGUUGGUAUUUAUUUUCUAAAUAUCACGUACUCCACAUGCUUUAAGAUAUACUCUUAUCCUACCAAUUCCAUCUACAUUGUCAUUUUGAAUGGACACGAUAUGGAAUAUACUAAUUAAAAUCGCGAGAAUACACAUGAGUCACGGAGAGACGACACGCAGCAACAGUCCGUCUGCACAGUCUGCUGAAAUCUCAACCCCAUCAUUGCUGGCUGGACCACAUUCCCCGGGGAAAUCACACACCCACGUCACGUUCCUCAGGGUCACCUCUUGCAGUUGUUGUGUUUUGGAGUCUGGGUUUAGUGGACAAAUGCGAUAAAGAGCAUGCAGCGUAAGUCCUCUAGGGAUCAGACGCACGGCAGCGCUGAGCCGGUGGGCUUUCUGGUCAUCGCUGCUGUGGACUGUGCUCUUUUUUCUUUCUGUUUUUCACAGCUGUGGAGAGGAGAAGAGCGUCCCCCUGCGUUUGGACCUUUCUUGUAUAUUGUCUGGGUGACCGGCCCUCUGUAUUCUCUAGAGAGUUUCCAGUUAAAGAGAGAACAGCUCUCAUUCAAGUCUGCAGGAGCCUCUGUUUCCUGAAUGACCUCUUUGAACCAAGUGUCAGGGCUCUAGAAGACGAAGAAGAACCCACAACAAACCAGCCAAUCAGUUUCUAAUUUCCCCCAUCUUCAUCUCCUGGAGAUUCACAGAGGAGCAAAAACUGGGGGAUCACUAAGGAGCCGCUAGAAAGACUGAAAUAAAAAUGUCCGACAAGGCCCAGUGCUGGUAAAUCUGGGAGCCCACACAGGGCCAGUUGGAAUAUAAAGGACCCACAGUUGCUUUCAGAAAAAUAUAGCCCAGCAAGCUCACACAAGAGAAAUGGAAACAUGUCUGCACAAAGACUUGCACAUAAACAUCUAAGUGACAUUUUUCAGAACAGCUGAGAACUGCAAAGAGAUUAAUGUCCCAUCCAUCCGUGAACACAUCAGUAACAAAUGGUGACCCAGUGGUCUGGGGUAGAAAUGGGUGCAGCCAUUGACUUCCAAUAGGCAUGAGAAGCUUUUUGGUGAUGCUGAGUAUGGUGACCGAGACGUAUUGAAAUGUAGAGUUUAAACGGUGAUUUUACGAUCUGUAAUUAAAUUGCUUAAUAAAGUUGUUAGAAAAAAAUACUGGGAGAAUGCAUAUAGUAUUCAGAAAGGACAGUAUAAAUGAGGUCAUUUCUCAAAGAUGUAAUUUGGGCUGCUCCAGAGACACCUCGGUAAUUCUGGAAUAUACCACUUGUCAGUUGGAAGCAAUCCAAGCUAUAACAUGUUCGGUAUAUCUUAAGGGAAUAAAGGGAACCGUGAGCCAGAGGGCAACUUUGUUCUGGACACCGGGCUGUUUAGCUGGAGGCUAAUGGAUGGUGAGCAUAUUUCUUGUUAUAUGUGUACAAUAAAUUAGCACUGAUUACUUGUAAAUGAGCAUCUUCCUGAGGGUGUAAUCUUCCAAGCCAAUGCACUUCGGUAACAAUGCUGAUUCUUUCUAAGUGUGUAUCUUUGCAGGAUACAGUUAUCUCUGAGGCCAACGUGGUUCUCUCUUUAGGGUAGCGGUGGUGAUAAUGAGACCCUCCAGUCUUAGGGUAGAGUAAAUAUAGUCACUGUGGCUUUCUAGUCCAAGAAGAGUCACUUGGAGAGGGUGGAAGACUGACCACUACUUAAUCCACCUAAACACAGAAAGCAUGUGUCAGGGCAGGGAGAGGAAGUGGGAUGGAGAGAGACGACCGGAAAGCCAAUGAGGAGACCCAGCCUUGCUAGGGUUGCUGGUGACAACCUCAGGCAUCUUGCCUCUCAUAAUACAGAGACUAUUUUGUCAGGGGUCACGUUGAUCCCAACCCAAACGACCCUCAGAAAUUCCUCUUCUACUGGGUUCACCGUGCUAACAAGCAGCAUUGCUAAGUCAGCCUUCUGGGUACCACACAGUAGGGAAGGACAUGCUGAAGAUGAUCUGUGCUGGAGUCUUUGGUCGCAGUGUUCAAUCCUCCUACCAUACACUGACAGACUGGGAGGCAUAACAUGUUCUUGUUCCCACUUCAGUCAAAUGAAACGAACACCCCUGUGGCACAGAGAGGGCACUGUUAUUCAGGGCAGGUCUUGGAGUCAUGGUGACUUGGGUGUGAGUCAUGCUUCUGAUUUUGGGUCAAUGGAUUAACCUCUUUCAGCAUUUCCCACACUCAUCCAAAAUGAAGGUGUUAAAAAGCAGUACUUAUUUCCUGGUGAAAAGCAGAAUUCAGCGAGACUUAGCACCGUGUCUAGAGAAAAAGGGGUCUUGGCGGACGGCAAACUUCACUCAAUGUUUUGAUUAAACCCAGCUGCUGAACUGGAAGCACUGGGCCCCCUCCUAGAACUUAGCAGGUACAUUGAAAUAAUGCCACGGCCACUCCACAGCAGCUCCGUGGCUGGCCACGAAUCUGUUCCCUGCCAACAGCUCUGCAUCACCAGCCACACACCGUUCAAAAUUUCAAUGAUCUCAUUAAAAGUAAGUGUUGCUGAACUAUGUUAAUUUCCUUUUUCUUCCCCCCUGGCAGAGUUAUUAGAAUGAAGCUGACAGACCAGGUGAAGGGCAGAGAUAUGCUGUCUUUGCUUCUGAUAAAGCACUUGACAGAGUCUUCCAUUAUCUAGGUGCGGGUGGGCUCUGUGAGUGAAAAAUUAAGUGGAUUCACAGCUGGGGGUACAGCGGCACCCAGGAGGCUUGAUUGAUGGCUCUGUCACAACCUGUAGGGGGGACCACUGAUUGAAUGCCACAGGGCCGUGGCCCUGGAUUCUGCUUCAUUCAAUGUUUUUUAUUAAUGGCAUUAAAGUAGGCAUAGGAGAAACACAUCAGAUUUUUCAAUGACAUGAAACGGUGAAGAAUAUUUAAUACGAUAGGAGGCUGAUACAAAACUUCAAAAUUCUCUCAAUGGGAGAAAGGCAAAGCUGGCGCCAAGAUGAGGCAAUCGAAGAGGGGCAAAUGUUCUGUUCUGUGUCCGUGCGCCAGAGGCACCGUGUGGGAUGGAAACAGGGAGGAUGGGCCCUUGCCAACAAUCUCAAGAGACAUCUGGCUUCCAUGAAGCUGAACACAGGAACUGAGUCUUAGGGGGAACAGCACAAGAGCAAGGGACACAUUCAUAGAUGAUUUUUAUAAAACAUCUUGUUUACCUCCUUACUUCAGCCUGAUGAGGCUGCUGAUUCUGUGACACUUGUGGAAGGGAACAGACACAGCCGUGCUCAGGAUGCUGAGGGAGUUGUCAGAGUGUUGUCAACAAACUCGGGACACCGAUAUGGUUCUGACUUCCAGAAUGCAUGCUUUUUUUCUGUUCUUCACAGUAUGCUGUUGACUCUCUCCCAACAUUCUCUGGGGCUCAAGGGAGAUGGCUUUAAAAAAAUAAUCAGCCCCGUGCCUGCCUCUGCCCCCUCCCAUUCUGCUCAAGAGUUGCUGGCUCCCUGAGAGACUCAUUUGGAUGUAAACCGGGUGCUUACCUUGCGACUGACACUUUCUGUGUUACUGUAUGGACAUCACAGUCUGUUCUGAGUCCUCUCAAGGUUUAUCCACAAAUAAAACACUACAGAAAUGAUUGUCGCAUCUUUCCCAGUUUGCCACCUUCCAAAAUAGCUUCCUGCCAGAAUGGUAGGCUCUGGCCAGAAAAAAGGUAGUGUGGGACGCUUGAGAAUGAUCUGGAAUCGGCGGCUGUCAGUAACGAGACCCAGGUAAUUAAAACUUUUUAAAAUGAAGGUAAUUUUCUGGGGCUGCAUUAAUGAUUCAGGGUUGCAUAUUUACAUGAGAAAAGCCUCAAUUACCUUUAGAUAAUUAGGCGGUGUGUUAAGUAACCUGACUAUGAUGAUAUGCACUUGGAAUGCAUGAAAUUAAUUCAAUUAUUGAAUUAGUUUGUAUUAGGGUUUAAAUGUUACUGGCUGUCACUGGGGGUCCUUACCACCCUUGCUGAGAAAGUAUUCUGACAUCCUCCUCUCUUGGCUAGGAGCAGCGUAUUCCUGGAUAUUUGGAGUGCUGAACUGCAUCCGCGUCAGGUCCUAGGAAGACCAUUUGUCUCCAGUGUCAUAGCAGAGGAUCGUGAGGACUGCAUGGUAUCCCAGAAGAGUGCCCUUGCUUUAAUACAUAAAUUCUCAGGAGCAGCUGGUUGUCACUGUUGCAAAGGCUAACGCUAGCUGCGUCAAAUUCCAACUUACAGAGCUUAGAUGGUCAUGGACGGUUCUCGGGCGGGGGAACUGGCAGCCCCCUCUUAUUUUUCUUCUCUUUUUUUUCUAAGCUUAGGCCAGCCAUGAUUCACAAAGCUGGAGAAUGGGGUCCUCAAACAGAUGGCAAGCCAUUGGCUGCUGACCAUGCUGGCCCCAUCUUGAUGAGAGGGGUGGCCUGCUGUGAUGAGUGUUCAUGAUGACCUCCAUGGUAAACAAGUGAGGAAAUACUUUUCACUUCAAGAUAAUUGGGAAACUGAGUCACAUAGAAAAGUGGCCUAUGAAGAAAAUCUGGUGAUCCGCCCUUGUAUCGCAGGAGAAUGACGGCAGCAUGAAGCACACCACUAACGACUGCCAUUCACACGUGACGUCAAUGAAAUGUUUGGUUAUCGAUGAGAAGGUCACAGUGCUAGACCACACUUACAGAUCACACCAUGGUUUUGCCCACCCGUGGUUAAAAUCUUCUGAAACUCGAGCGACCCGUGACUGUUCAUUGAGAAUUUAAAUCCCAAAGAUCACUUAUGACGUAUGAAAAGCACCUUUUGCCAUAGACUUAUCUUUGUCCCAAGUUCUUUUAAAGAAAAAUAAUUCUUUAUGUGUGUGUGUAUGUGCACACAGGUGUUCUCUGAGAACAGAACGGGUGUGUCAGAUCCCUUGGCACUUGAGUUCUGGGCAGCUCGGUGGCAUCUGACCACAGAUGCUGGGGACUGAUCUCUGUUCCCCUGGAAGAGCAGCGAGUGCUCCCAACCGCUGGGCCGUUGCCCUAGCCUUGGAAGCUCAGCCCUUUAAAGAAUUUACUAACUUUGCUUGGGGAUAAAAGCCUCUCAUCAUUUAAUUCCUUGAAACGAAAGUGGCCUCCUCUCCCUAGCAGUUCUUCGUGUUUACUUAUAUUUAGCCUUCUCUCUGAUCGGGGUUCAUUAAAAAUGAUAUUUCUAUCUCCUGAACAUGACAGAAUGUGUUGAAGGCUUCUUGUGGGAAAACCACAGGAAGCUAUAGAAAUCUUUGUGGGAGCCUUAGCUGGAGCGUCUGUGGGGAGAUGUUGCCUUUGAGAGACGCUAAUUAAGAAGGCCACGGAGGAAAAAACUAGGUGCUACCCUUCCAAACAUAACUGCACAGACACAAACAUUAUUAACACAGACUGGCUUGAUGAAGCCACAUGAGGCUUAUGUAAUAAUGGCUUGGUUCCUGUUUCAAAAAAAAAAAAAAGAGUGAACAAACCAAAAACUGAAUCAUUUGAAUCAUAAAUCUGAGAUUUUAAAAAUUCUUCAUCUAGUUAGAAAUUAAAUACAAUGCAAUUUCUCCAACACUCUUUUCUCCUAUUUUUUUUUUUUUUUUUUUAGGUACAUUACAUACCUAUUGCAAAAUCUCUAGCCAUGCAGAAGCUGUAAAAAGACUAUCUGGACCUCAGACUGCAACGUGAUACUCAUUUAUAGGGUUUUUACAGGAAGAAAGUUCCUUUACUUUUACUAUCCAUCUUUUUUCUUUCUGUAUGAAACGGCUUAAUAAAUAUAAUAAAUAAAUAA